rnacentral:rRNA from 1 species
AGCAGCCGCGGUAAUUCCAGCUCCAAUAGCGUAUAUUAAAGUUGUUGCAGUUAAAAAGCUCGUAGUUGAAUUUCGGGGUUAGCAGGUCGGUCGUGCCAUUGGUAUGAACUGGUCUCGCUGAUCCCUCCCUCUUGACGAACUGUGAUGCCAUUAAUUUGGUGUCGCAGGGAAUCAGGACUGUUACUUUGAAAAAAUUAGAGUGUUUAAAGCAGGCUCACGCUUGAAUACAUUAGCAUGGAAUAAUGAAAUAGGACGUUUGAUCCUAUUUUGUUGGCUUCUAGGAUUGACGUAAUGAUUAAUAGGGAUAGUUGGGGGCAUUAGUAUUCAAUUGUCAGAGGUGAAAUUCUUGGAUUUAUUGAAGACUAACUACUGCGAAAGCAUUUGCCAAGGAUGUUUUCAUUAAUCAAGAACGAAAGUUAGGGGAUCGAAGACGAUCAGAUACCGUCGUAGUCUUAACCAUAAACUAUGCCGACUAGGGAUCGGAUGAUGUUAAUUUUUUAAUGACUCU